rnacentral:rRNA from 1 species
UGGCGAACGGGUGAGUAACACGUGAGUAACCUGCCCUUGACUUCGGGAUAACUUCAGGAAACUGGGGCUAAUACCGGAUAGGAAUCCUUGCUGCAUGGUGGGGGUUGGAAAGCUUCGGCGGUUUUGGAUGGACUCGCGGCUUAUCAGCUUGUUGGUGGGGUAGUGGCUUACCAAGGCUUUGACGGGUAGCCGGCCUGAGAGGGCGACCGGCCACAUUGGGACUGAGAUACGGCCCAGACUCCUACGGGAGGCAGCAGUGGGGAAUAUUGCACAAUGGGCGGAAGCCUGAUGCAGCAACGCCGCGUGCGGGAUGACGGCCUUCGGGUUGUAAACCGCUUUCAGCAGGGGCGAAGCUUUUGUGACGGUACCUGCAGAAGAAGCACCGGCUAACUACGUGCCAGCAGCCGCGGUGAUACGUAGGGUGCGAGCGUUGUCCGGAUUUAUUGGGCGUAAAGAGCUCGUAGGUGGUUGAUUGCGUCGGAAGUGAAAACUUGGGGCUUAACCCUGAGCGUGCUUUCGAUACGGGUUGACUUGAG